UACGUAGGGCGCAAGCGUUGUCCGGAAUUAUUGGGCGUAAAGAGCUCGUAGGCGGCUUGUCACGUCUGCUGUGAAAUCCCGGGGCUCAACCCCGGGCGUGCAGUGGAUACGGGCUGGCUAGAGGCAGGCAGGGGAGAACGGAAUUCCCGGUGUAGCGGUGAAAUGCGCAGAUAUCAGGAAGAACACCCGUGGCGAAGGCGGCUCUCUGGGACGGUACUGACGCUGAGACGCGAAAGCGUGGGGAGCGAACAGG
rnacentral:rRNA from 1 species